UUUGAAUAUCAGAUAAAUAACAAAAAUUUAUUAGUACAAGUUUCCUGCAAAUCCACACUGAACAGAAUAUUAUGUUCAUUGUUCAUCUUAAAUUCAAAUUUAAUUGGGUACACUUUAUUAUGUGGUAACAAUAUUCAGGUGGUAGACCAAAAAAUUCAAAAGUGUAUCAAUAGCUUCAUUUGGUUAAGCAUAAAGAGCAAAAGAAAUUUAAAUAUCUUCCUGUUGACAAUGUAAAUUAUUACAGUUGGAGAGAAAUUUGGAAAUUUUGUAAAAUUCAUACAUGAAAGUUCUUUUUCACCAUAAUUCCACCUUUCAUUUAUGUUCUGGAUAGACUUGAGCAUAUAUUUGAAGGAAAACAUGAACCCAAGAAAUAGCAUUGCUUUUAAUUUUCCAACAAAAGAAGAAAUAGGUUGUAAUUUACUAAAAUUGAAAAAAGUACAGCUACAUGUGGCUACAUAUUUCAACAUGGAAGAAGUCCACCGAGAUUUCUGAAAGAAAGAGCAAAUCUUACAAAAACGUACUUUUUAUUUAUAAAUACAGACAUUAAAGACAUAAAGAGCCCCGUGUCGUGCUGCCCCUCCUGAUUAGGCCUCGGGGCCGGCCCUGGCCACUGUCCCUGCAGUGGAUGCAAUCGCGGCGGCUCCAGUCCUCAGGCGGCUCCAGUCCUCAGGCGGCUCCAGUCCUCAGGGGGUUCCAGUCCUCAGGCGGCUCCAGUCCUCAGGCGGCUCCAGUCCUCAGGGGGCUCCAGUCCUCAGGGGGUUCCAGUCCUCAGGCGGCUCCAGUCCUCAGGGAGCUCCAGUCCUCAGGCGGCUCCAGUCCUCAGGGGGCUCCAGUCCUCAGGGGGUUCCAGUCCUCAGGCGGCUCCAGUCCUCAGGCGGCUCCAGUCCUCAGGGCGGCUCCUGUCCUCAGGGGGUUCCAGUCCUCAGGCGGCUCCAGCACCCGCGACCCGCCUGGCUCCGUCUGAGUCCGUGGUUAGGCUCCCUCCAUCCCUGCGUUCCCUGGCCUCCCUCUCCUGUUGUUUUCCCCAGAUUCACCCCAGCACGGCCCCAUGGCGCAAGGAGACCCGCUGGAAAGGAAGCAUUUGAACUCCAGAAGCACAGGACUUGCGACUUUCAGCCUUUGCGCCCAUCUCUGCGCCACCAGCCCCGCAGAAGUAGCUGGGAAUGGAGCUGUCCCCAUCCAGAGACAUCUCCAGGCUCACCACGGAGCAAAUUCUGUGCAGAAGAAGAGAAUAAACGCAUGCGGAACAGAAGGCGUUUUAGAAACUAGUUUCCAACCGACAGAUCCACCUCGUACUUCUGAUGCACGGUCACAUGCAUUUCUCCU
rnacentral:lncRNA from 10 species